rnacentral:tRNA from 1 species
GUAGCUCAGUUGGUUAGAGUAUCGGCCUGUCACGCCGAGGGUCGCGGGUUCAAGUCCCGUC